GCCGCGUCGGCCAGUCAAACAAGUUGUACAUCACGUUCUGCUUCCUGGUCCACAAGAGGUCCAACUGCACGAGUCCAAACACAAACCAAAGAGUACUGGAGGUGGCAGCAUCAUCAGGAACACUGGCAACACCUGGGGCUCUGGGUGCCAGUGCCUCUUCAAAAACCCCGUUGGAGUCCAGUUGCUGGGGUGCUCUCCUCCCUGAGACACCUUUUGGCUUGACAUUUUGAUUUGCUUUUCUGCACCCUACAACACUACAUCCAUACACUGUUCCACUCAUGCACUCACCUACACUACUGAUUUCACUGACUACACAUGCCAUUGUUAGGUUAGGUUUUUUUCUCUUAGGUUAGUUCCUUUUUUAAAAUAAAUUGGUUAUUAAUUGGC